rnacentral:rRNA from 1 species
GUGGGGAAUAUUGGGCAAUGGGGGAAACCCUGACCCAGCAACGCCGCGUGAAGGAAGAAGGCCCUCGGGUUGUAAACUUCUUUUACCAGGGACGAAGGACGUGACGGUACCUGGAGAAAAAGCAACGGCUAACUACGUGCCAGCAGCCGCGGUAAUACGUAGGUUGCAAGCGUUGUCCGGAUUUACUGGGUGUAAAGGGCGUGUAGGCGGAGCUGCAAGUCAGAUGUGAAAUCCCGGGUCUCAACCCCGGAACUGCAUUUGAAACUGUAGCCCUUGAGUAUCGGAGAGGCAAGCGGAAUUCCUAGUGUAGCGGUGAAAUGCGUAGAUAUUAGGAGGAACACCAGUGGCGAAGGCGGCUUACUGGACGAUUACUGACGCUGAGGCUCGAAAGCGUGGGGAGCAAACAGGAUUAGAUACCCCAGUAGUCC